rnacentral:SRP_RNA from 19 species
UGGCGAGCUAGUCCGGGUGAUUCGGCGUCACCUGUAAUCCGAAAUCGUCGGCAUGCGGAGGACGAAGCCCGUGGAAGGCGUUUUCUGACGCAUGAAGGCCUUGCUUUCUCUACGUUGAAGAUCCGUCCUGCUGGGUUAGCGGUGGUAAAUCGCCGUGCUGGAGAGCACGUCGACUGCCUUGAUUGCGGGGACCGGCACAGGCCCGGAAGGGAGCAUGCUAACCGUGGACAACUGACGCUUGCAGGGGCACGGGUUGGAGGAAAGGGGCAAGACAACCUAUCAUGUGCGGUAACGACGACCUAAGGCGCGCUCGCUA